UACGUAGGUGGCAAGCGUUAUCCGGAAUUAUUGGGCGUAAAGAGCGCGCAGGUGGUUAAUUAAGUCUGAUGUGAAAGCCCACGGCUUAACCGUGGAGGGUCAUUGGAAACUGGUUGACUUGAGUGCAGAAGAGGGAAGUGGAAUUCCAUGUGUAGCGGUGAAAUGCGUAGAGAUAUGGAGGAACACCAGUGGCGAAGGCGGCUUCCUGGUCUGUAACUGACGCUGAGGCUCGAAAGCGUGGGGAGCAAACAGG
rnacentral:rRNA from 1 species